GGGACAAGAACGCACAGGUAGGAAGAGAACUGGGCUGUGGCUGCGCUGAAGUCGCUUUCUGUUUUACGCGUGAAGACAACGGGAAUAGUUUAGUUCUAAAUGCGGAUUUGGAACCAUUAGGCGCAGUUGGUUGCGACAUACUUUGGAUGUCUAAAGAAUCUGCAAGAGAGAGAGAAAAAAAACGUGGUGCCUACGUGUCGUAAGUGCUCCCCUUCAGACACGGAGCAUACAUCACUGGUUUGUCAUGGGUUUUUCAAAGAGAGUGUCCAACUGGACUGUGAAUGAAGUUCACGACUGGGUGAAGAAGCAGUAUGUCUCCAGAAACCAGGCCUUGCUGCAAGCCAUCGUCAAGCACGCCAUUUCAGGCCGUGCCCUGCUCAGGAUGAGUGCCUACCAGCUGGAUAAGAUGGGCAUGGACGCAGAGUUGCAGCAGGAGAUCCUGCAGGAUGUUCUUCUCCUCAGGGUUGAGGAGGAACUGGAGAACCUGAAUGAAAUCAUAUCUGAGUGUUUUUCUUCAUGACCGAGUGGACUGCAGACCUGAGGAUUCUGAUGUUUCUAUAUUGCCCCUGCGUACUGAAGUAUUACACACAAAAAAAAAAAAAAGACAGAAAGAAGCAGAAGAAAAGAAAAUGAAAUACCAUUCACCGAUUGGAAUCAGUGACCUGGAGAAGAUGGCGAGAUUGGUUUUGCCACUGCUGUGACACCUCCGUGAGUCAGUCUACAGAAUGUGGGGCUUUUCUGCUCUUGCUUCCUCCAUUGCCACAGUUUUCAAUAUACUGUCUGGAUGCCGGAGCCUGGAGAGGUAAACAUCAUUUCACAUUUAAUGAGGAACAGAGAGAUAUUCUUGCUGUUGCGACCAGCUUCUGCAUCCAUGCUCUGCAACCAAUGCCUGUGGGAGAAAGACCACACCCCGCACUCCACCUGCACACAUGUAAUACUGCCUUCCUGUUCUCCAGACUGUGCCACCGUCUACCCCUCCAUUCGCAUCGUUAAUCUUCAUUCUCUCCUGGACAGAGGACAAUCCGCACCGGUCCGUUUUCUUUACCAGUAAAUCCACUAAACCUCAGCUGGAUGACUCAUCUACAACCAAGUAAUGAAACGGAUCCGAUUUUUAACCAUGGCUGGGUCCGAAAUCUCCACAUGAGAGACUGGAAUGGGAAUGAUGGCACACAAAGGAACCUGGGAAAACGUGAGAAAAAGGGGUGCAGAGCCUCCCCGCAAGGUGCAUUACAGCAGGGUGUAAGCCUUUUACCAUAACUAUGCACCUAUAUUUGUAAUUAUUACAUUUGUCAUAUAGACAGUAUGUACCACAUGGCCACAGUCACAAUCUUUUAAUAUGCAAAUAUUUAGUGUAAUAAUUGUUAACAGAUUAAGGUAGCAGAGUCUAGUAAACAUUUCUUCUUCAGUAAUAAAGUUUCAAACAUUAGUAAAAGCUGAUCCA
rnacentral:lncRNA from 1 species